ACGACCUACGGGGGGCAGCAGUGGGGGAUAUUGCACAAUGGGGGGAACCCUGAUGCAGCGACGCCGCGUGGGUGAAGAAGCGCCUCGGCGCGUAAAGCCCUGUCAGCAGGGAAGAAAAUGACGGUACCUGAAGAAGAAGCCCCGGCUAACUACGUGCCAGCAGCCGCGGUAAUACGUAGGGGGCAAGCGUUAUCCGGAUUUACUGGGUGUAAAGGGGGCGUAGACGGCAGGGCAAGUCUGGAGUGAAAGGCGGGGGCCCAACCCCGGGACUGCUCUUGGAACUGCGUGGCUGGAGUGCAGGAGGG
rnacentral:rRNA from 1 species